rnacentral:lncRNA from 1 species
AGCGCGUUGCAUCACCUCCGUGCGCCCGGUUGCAGCGUGGACGCCGGAUGAGUUGCUUUUAGGCUUGCUGGCCCGCGGGGCUGUCCAGGCACGCGAGGCCCCUCAGCAACAAAAUGCUUCAACAAGUUCCAGAAAACAUAAAUUUUCCUGCUGAAGAAGAGAAAAUCUUGGAGUUUUGGACUGAAUUUAAUUGUUUUCAGGAAUGCUUAAAGCAAUCAAAACAUAAACCAAAAUUUACCUUCUAUGAUGGUCCUCCUUUUGCAACUGGACUGCCUCACUAUGGACAUAUACUUGCGGGUACAAUUAAAGAUAUAGUUACAAGAUAUGCUCACCAGAGUGGGUUUCAUGUUGACAGAAGAUUUGGAUGGGAUUGCCAUGGCUUACCUGUGGAAUAUGAAAUUGAUAAGACACUGGGAAUCAGAGGACCAGAGGAUGUGGCCAAAAUGGGGAUUACAGAGUAUAACAAUCAGUGCCGAGCAAUUGUGAUGAGAUAUUCUGCUGAGUGGAAGGUAUGUUGGGUUUUUUUCAGUAGAAUGAACAGCAAAUGUAGUUACUAAAUGGGCAUUGAAAUGGUUUAUGGUCCCUUGUGCUUUUUUUAUUAAUUUAUUUUUUGUAGAAAAAGUGUUAGCUUCCACCUUCAACCCUAUUACUUAAACGGUUAGCUUAAACUGAACCAUCUCUCUUCUGACUUCUGUGUGCUUAAUUGGUCUAACUUUCUUGCAUGAUCACCAAUAGGGAAAAAUUCUAAUAAGUAUAACAUGAUAUAUAGGCCUUUUCUUUUUUUCUCAAAUACUUUUUUCAAUUUUUUUAACUUUUCAUUUUGAAAUAAUUUGACUUAUUAAACAAUUGAAAAAGUAGUAUGAUGGGUUCCCCUAUAUCCUUCAUCC